rnacentral:lncRNA from 1 species
CUGCCAGGGACAUAUUGAACAUUCUGGGUCUUUCUUCUUGAGAUCUCUUGAUUUGGAUACCCUCCUAUCAAUGCAGAUUAGGCAUUGUUUUUCAAUUUUCCAAUUUCAUAGGGUUGCAUGGGGCACCAAAAGGUUAAAUAAUUUGUCCAGGGUCACAGUCAAACCUCAACAUACCAAGCUCAACAAUUGAGAGAAAACAAACUGGUCUCACCACCUGCUUUUUCUUCACAGUCUCACAUGCUAUUGAAUACUACUGGAAUAAAUUAUUGCUGGAUCCACUUCA